UACGUAGGGGGCGAGCGUUAUCCGGAAUUACGGGGUGUAAAGGGAGCGUAGACGGCGAAGUAAGCCUGAAGUGGAAGCCCGCGGCCCAACCGCGGAACUGCUUUGGGAACUGCUUAGCUGGAGUAUGGGAGGGGUAAGCGGAAUUCCUGGUGUAGCGGUGAAAUGCGUAGAUAUCAGGAGGAACACCGGUGGCGAAGGCGGCUUACUGGACCAUGACUGACGUUGAGGCUCGAAAGCGUGGGGAGCGAACAGG
rnacentral:rRNA from 1 species